rnacentral:lncRNA from 1 species
GUUAAAUCAAAAAGAUGAUGAGAAUUGAAAAAAAUAAAAAUUUAAGGCCUGAGUAUUUGAAACUAGAACUUAUCGUCUGAAUUAAAGAGCCUGGUUUAAAUAUGUAAUGGUCCCUAACAGAGAGAGAUAAAGAGAAGUUUGGGUUAGAGAAUAAAGUUAUUCUCGAGAAAUAAAGAUCNNNNNNNNNNNNNNNNNNNNNNNNNNNNNNNCACGUUCUUUUUAAACUAAAAAGGUUAGAUCAAAAAGAUGAUGAGAAUUGAAAAAAAUAAAAAUUUAAGGCCUGAAUAUUUAAAACUAGAACUUAUCGUCUGAAUUAAAGAGCCUGGUUUAAAUAUGUAGUGGUCCCUAACAGAGAGGGAUAAAGAGAAGUUUGGGUUAGAGAAUAAAGUUAUUCUCGAGAAAUAAAGAUCUUUUAUAUUGAAAACAUUGGGCCUUGAUUUUAAAAGUAAAUUAGCUCUGAAUUUUGGAAAGAAAAGCAAAAUUAGGAUAAAUAAAACUAGAAACAAACCAGUUAUAACUGAUGGGUUGAAAAUAACAAGGUUAUCACAAAGUAAAAUUUUAAGGAUUUUAAAGACGAUUAAUGAGAAGGAUCUAAAUAAUAAAAUAAGCAAAAAGAAGUAGGAUUUAAUCCUUCUAAUAGGACUGAAUGCUGAAGGAACGCUCACCAACCCUUCUAUCAGAGAAGAUCUAUAGAGCAAGGUUAAAACUCUACCCGUCAAAAGUAUCAGAAGCAGAAAAAGCCUCCUAUCUGCACACGCCUUCUCUAGGACAAUAUCCUUCGUAAAAAAGGAAGAAGAGUAAAUCAAACCUCUUAUUCCAAAAAGGGCAGAAACCAUAAAGAAUCUAAUGGAUGAAGUUUUUGCAUCCACUUUAAUGCCUUUAAUUAUCUGAUUCCUAAAGGAUCAGGUGAAUAAAACUCCGCAGCCGCAAAAGAGAAGGGUUUUGAAAAGGGCAUGACAAAAAGUGUGGGCGUAUCCCAUGCUCAGCAAAGUUAUGCUGAUAAAGAAGAUAAUUAUACUAAUUUGCCUUAUAGUAGAAAAAGCUACAAUUUUCUUUAGAUCUUUUUCUACAAUCCCUAUUAAACCGCCUAUUAAGAAAGUGACGCAAGAUAAGGCCCCCAAUAGAACACCGAACGAAGAGUCAAACAGAUACCACCUCAGUUUGAAAAACACUAAGAUUCCUGCAGUAACUAAUGUUGAUGAAUGAACUAUAGCUGAGAUAGGAGUUGGAGCAGACAUAGCUGCUGGCAAUCAGCUGGAGAAAGGAAUCUGAGCUCUCUUAGUGAGAAGACAAAUUAACAAUACUCAAAACCUUGAAUAAUUAAAAGAAUCUCUGUUGAACAGAAAAUGCGGAAAAUCUAGGAACAAAAAGCAAAAAAAAAAG